GACGAACGCUGGCGGCGUGCCUAAUACAUGCAAGUUGAGCGAUGAAGAUUGGUGCUUGCACCAAUUUGAAGAGCAGCGAACGGGUGAGUAACGCGUGGGGAAUCUGCCUUUGAGCGGGGGACAACAUUUGGAAACGAAUGCUAAUACCGCAUAAUAACUUUAAACAUAAGUUUUAAGUUUGAAAGAUGCAAUUGCAUCACUCAAAGAUGAUCCCGCGUUGUAUUAGCUAGUUGGUGAGGUAAAGGCUCACCAAGGCGAUGAUACAUAGCCGACCUGAGAGGGUGAUCUGCCACAUUGGGACUGAGACACGGCCCAAACUCCUACGGGAGGCAGCAGUAGGGAAUCUUCGACAAUGGACGAAAGUCUGACCGAGCAACGCCGCGUGAGUGAAGAAGGUUUUCGGAUCGUAAAACUCUGUUGGUAGAGAAGAACGUUGGUGAGAGUGGAAAGCUCAUCAAGUGACGGUAACUACCCAGAAAGGGACGGCUAACUACGUG
rnacentral:rRNA from 1 species